rnacentral:rRNA from 1 species
UACGAAGGGGGCUAGCGUUGCUCGGAAUCACUGGGCGUAAAGCGCACGUAGGCGGAUUGUUAAGUCAGGGGUGAAAUCCUGGAGCUCAACUCCAGAACUGCUUUUGAUACUGGCGAUCUCGAGUCCGGGAGAGGUGAGUGGAACUGCGAGUGUAGAGGUGAAAUUCGUAGAUAUUCGCAAGAACACCAGUGGCGAAGGCGGCUCACUGGCCCGGUACUGACGCUGAGGUGCGAAAGCGUGGGGAGCAAACAGGG